rnacentral:rRNA from 1 species
GACAGAGGUGCCGAGCGUUAGGCGGAAUCACUGGGCUUAAAGCGUGUGUAGGUGGAUGCCUAAGUACCUUGUGAAAUCCCACGGCUUAACCGUGGAACUGCUUGGUAUACUGGGUGUCUUGAGCCAGCUAGGGGCUACCGGAACAAAUGGUGGAGCGGUGAAAUGCGUAGAUAUCAGGAGGAACACCGGUGGCGAAGGCGGCUCACUGGCCCGGUACUGACGCUGAGGUGCGAAAGCGUGGGGAGCAAACAGG